GAUGAACGCUGGCGGCGUGCCUAAUACAUGCAAGUCGAGCGAACAGAUGAGGAGCUUGCUCCUCUGACGUUAGCGGCGGACGGGUGAGUAACACGUGGAUAACCUGCCUAUAAGACUGGGAUAACUUCGGGAAACCGGAGCUAAUACCGGAUAAUAUAUUGAACCGCAUGGUUCAAUAGUGAAAGACGGUUUUGCUGUCACUUAUAGAUGGAUCCGCGCCGCAUCAGCUAGUUGGUAAGGUAACGGCUUACCAAGGCAACGAUGCGUAGCCGACCUGAGAGGGUGAUCGGCCACACUGGAACUGAGACACGGUCCAGACUCCUACGGGAGGCAGCAGUAGGGAAUCUUCCGCAAUGGGCGAAAGCCUGACGGAGCAACGCCGCGUGAGUGAUGAAGGUCUUCGGAUCGUAAAACUCUGUUAUUAGGGAAGAACAAAUGUGUAAGUAACUAUGCACGUCUUGACGGUACCUAAUCAGAAAGCCACGGCUAACUACGUG
rnacentral:rRNA from 1 species